rnacentral:tRNA from 1 species
GCGGCUCGUGGGGCUACGCGUCGGUUUCGUAAACCGCAGGUCACGGGUUCGAAUCCCGUCGUCGGCUCCA